rnacentral:rRNA from 1 species
GACGAACGCUGGCGGCGUGCUUAACACAUGCAAGUCGAACGGAAAGGCCCUGCUUUUGUGGGGUGCUCGAGUGGCGAACGGGUGAGUAACACAUGAGUAACCUGCCCUUGACUUUGGGAUAACUUCAGGAAACUGGGGCUAAUACCGGAUAGGAGCUCCUGCUGCAUGGGGGGGGUUGGAAAGUUUCGGCGGUUGGGGAUGGACUCGCGGCUUAUCAGCUUGUUGGUGGGGUAGUGGCUUACCAAGGCUUUGACGGGUAGCCGGCCUGAGAGGGUGACCGGCCACAUUGGGACUGAGAUACGGCGCAGAAUGCUACGGGAGGCAGCAGUGGGGAAUAUUGCGCAAUGGGCGGAAGCCUGAUGCAGAAACGCCGCGUGCGGGAUGACGGCCUUCGGGUUGUAAACCGCUUUCGCCUGUGACGAAGCGUGAGUGACGGUAAUGGGUAAAGAAGCACCGGCUAACUACGUG